UCAAGCUAAUAAGGGCAUAGGGUGGAUGCCUUGGCACCAAGCGCCGAAGAAGGACGUGACAAGCUGCGAAAAGCUACGGGGAGUUGCAAAUGAACGUUGAUCCGUAGAUAUCCGAAUGAGGAAACUCACUAGUAGUAACGUACUAGUAUCCGUAUGUGAAUAUAUAGCAUACAGGAAGGGAACCCGGUGAACUGAAACAUCUAAGUAGCCGGAGGAAAAGAAAGAAAACAAUCGAUUUCCAAAGUAGUGGUGAGCGAAAUGGAAAGAGCCUAAACCUAGGAUAGUGAUAUCCGACGGGGUAACGGACUAGAAAAAGUAUCAAAAUGGGUAGUUGAAUACAACUGGAAAGUUGAACCAAAGAGAGUAACAGUCUCGUAGACGAAACUUAGUUUGAACCGCUAGUAUCCAGAGUAGUGCAGGACACGAGGAAUCCGGCAUGAAGACAGGAGGACCAUCUCCUAAGGCUAAAUACGACUUGGUGACCGAUAGAGUAUAGUACCGUGAGGGAAAGGUGAAAAGAACCCCGGGAGGGGAGUGAAAGAGAACCUGAAACCCUAUGCUUACAAGCAGAUACAGCACUACUGAAAGUGUGGUAUCGUACUUUUUGUAGAACGGGCCGGCGAGUUACGGUGUGUAGCGAGGUUAAGUAAUUAAGUUACGAAGCCGAAGCGAAAGCGAGUCUGAUAAGGGCGCAUAGUUGCAUGCCGUAGACCCGAAACCAGAUGACCUACCCAUGAGCAGAUUGAAGCUGUGGUAAAACAUAGUGGAGGAUCGAACUCACGUCUCUUGAAAAAGGCGGGGAUGACUUGUGGGUAGCGGAGAAAUUCCAAUCGAAUCUGGAUAUAGCUGGUUCUCUUCGAAAUAGCUUUAGGGCUAGCCUCUCGUUAGAGUACUGAAGGUAGAGCACUGAAUGGGCUAGGGGGCUUCACAGCUUACUGAACCUUAUCAAACUUCGAAUGACAGAUACUUGAUGCGAGGGAGUCAGACUAUGUGAGAUAAGUCUCAUGGUCAAGAGGGAAACAGCCCAGAUCCACAACUAAGGUCCCAAAGUAUAGAUUAAGUGGUAAAGGAUGUGUUACUGCUAAAACAACCAGGAUGUUGGCUCAGAAGCAGCCAUACAUUAAAAGAGUGCGUAAUAGCUCACUGGUCGAGUGGUGAUGCGCCGAAAAUUACCGGGGCUAAAAUCUAACACCGAAGUUUGGGGAUAAUAGUAAUAUUAUCGGUAGAAGAGCAAUGUAUAAGAGCUGAAGCAGUAUCGAAAGGGGCUGUGGAUUUUAUACAAGAGAGAAUGCCGGCAUAAGUAGCGAGAGCAGAGCGAGAAACUCUGCCGUCGAAAGCCUAAGGUUUCCUGGGGAAGGUUCGUCCGCCCAGGGUAAGUCGGGACCUAAGCCGAGAGCGAAAGCUGUAGGUGAUGGACAACGGGUAGAUAUUCCCGUACCGGCCGAAGACGCUUAAAUGAAGCAAUGACACAGGAGGAUAGCCAAAGCGCGCUGAUGGAUAAGUGCGUCCAAGAUGUUAGGCUAACGUGUAGUGAAGUACGCACGUUGUUAGGCUGAGCAUUGAUGGGGAAUGAAAACUAGUAAGAAAGUUGGUGAAUCCACACUGGCGAGAAAAGUUGCUAAAUAUGUCUAAGGUUGCCCGUACCGCAAACCGACACAGGUAGGCGAGGAGAAAAUCCUAAGACGAUCGGGAUAACUAUUGUUAAGGAACUCUGCAAAAUGACCCCGUAACUUCGGGAGAAGGGGAGCCUCCGCGAGGAGGUCGCAGUGAAGAGGCCCAAGCGACUGUUUACCAAAAACACAGGUCUCUGCAAAAUCGAAAGAUGAUGUAUAGGGGCUGACGCCUGCCCAGUGCUGGAAGGUUAAGGGGAAAUGUUAGAGCAAUCGAAGCAUAGAACUUAAGCCCCAGUGAACGGCGGCCGUAACUAUAACGGUCCUAAGGUAGCGAAAUUCCUUGUCAGGUAAGUUCUGACCCGCACGAAUGGCGUAACGACUUGGGCGCUGUCUCAACAAUAGACCCGGCGAAAUUGUAGUAUACGUGAAGAUGCGUAUUACCCGCGACUGGACGGAAAGACCCCGUAGAGCUUUACUGUAACUUGAUAUUGAAAUUCGGUAAUUGAUGUACAGGAUAGGUGGGAGACUUGGAAACGUAGGCGUCAGCUUGCGCGGAGUCACCCUUGGGAUACCACCCUUUAAUUACUGGAUCUCUAACCUUAGGCCAUUAUCUGGCUAGGGGACAGUGUCAGGUGGACAGUUUGACUGGGGCGGUCGCCUCCCAAAAAGUAACGGAGGCGUUCAAAGGUUCCCUCAGAAUGGUUGGAAAUCAUUCAUAGAGUGUAAAGGCAUAAGGGAGCUUAACUGAGAGACAGACAUGUCGACCAGAUACGAAAGUAGGACUUAGUGAUCCGGCGGUAGAGAAUGGAAUUGCCGUCGCUUAACGGAUAAAAGUUACCUCGGGGAUAACAGGCUUAUCUCCCCCAAGAGUUCACAUCGACGGGGAGGUUUGGCACCUCGAUGUCGGCUCGUCGCAUCCUGGGGCUGAAGUCGGUCCCAAGGGUUGGGCUGUUCGCCCAUUAAAGCGGCACGCGAGCUGGGUUCAGAACGUCGUGAGACAGUUCGGUCCCUAUCCGUCGUGGGCG
rnacentral:rRNA from 1 species